rfam:Mangrovibacter sp. MFB070 Contig-053, whole genome shotgun sequence.
CGCGUGGUGUCUGGCGUUAGGGCUGGAAGAGCGACGCGGCCUUAGACCUGAGGU